GCCUAGUAAGCUUAGUUGGUAGUGCGUCUGCCUUGUAAGCGCUAGGCCGCGGGUUCGAUUCCCACCCGGGGCG
rfam:Asian citrus Psyllid, Diaphorina citri - Florida Strain, whole genome shotgun sequence.